rfam:Tribolium castaneum strain Georgia GA2 unplaced genomic scaffold scaffold_seqid1416, whole genome shotgun sequence.
AAAACGGUUCUUUUCAGAACCACAAAAUUGUUUACAAAUGAAAAUGU